UACAGAGGGGGCCAGCGUUAUUCGGAAUUAUUGGGCGUAAAGGGCGCGUAGGCGGCUUUGCGUGUCUUUCGUGAAAUCCCUCGGCUCAACUGAGGACGUGCGGAAGAAACUGCAGGGCUGGAGUCCGGGAGAGGAGGGUGGAAUUCCCAGUGUAGCGGUGAAAUGCGUAGAUAUUGGGAGGAACACCAGUGGCGAAGGCGGGGUCUCUGGACAGUUCCUGACGCUGAGGCACGAAGGCCAGGGGAGCAAACGGGG
rnacentral:rRNA from 1 species